GAAAAAUUAGUUAAAAUAAAUAAUAGUAGUUUGUCAGACUAAAGUUACUAAAGUAUUUUUCU
rnacentral:tRNA from 1 species